rnacentral:tRNA from 1 species
GGUGUUGUGGCUCAGUGGUAGAGCGCUCACCUGGCAAGUGCAAGGUGCUGGGUUUGAUCCUCAGCACCA